GGGGAUGUUUUGGUUUUGACAGCAAAUCGAAUCGGAAAGUAAGCACGCCGAGAGUCGUGAUGCCAUCUCGUUAAUCACGGGUCACAAGCCGUAAAUGGCGAAAACAACUUUGCACUCGCUGCGUAAUUAAGCAGAGCUUUUUACGCUUAAUCACCGCCGGCCAGGUCCGGCCGUGACGAGUAUCCCGCCUGACUUUGUGCCGACUAUAUCAGGCAAUGGGGUAUCAUUAAAGCCGGCUGCAGACAUUUACUCCUCUAAGAUGUCUUAAGAACAAGAGGAUAAGCCUAGGGUAUCGUGUCUGUUGGCAGCCCUUGGAUGAAAAACAAGAACAGACUAAGCGUGUAGAAAGCUUUUGGAUGGUUUGUCUGGACGGCGGUUCGAGUCCGCCCAUCUCCACAG
rnacentral:tmRNA from 1 species